rfam:Cyphomyrmex costatus contig9742, whole genome shotgun sequence.
UCCUCCUGAAAGACAUGGGUAGUGAGAUGUUCUUACGCAAUCGCGUCUCACUAUCUUGUCUUUCAUGCGGCG